CCGAGCCCAUGGAUCCGGAGCCGCCGCAGACGGGCCACGCCGUGCCCGUGGCCUCCGCCAGCCCGGACGUGGCCCUGCUGACGGACACGCGUGAAGGCGCGGGAGGUGGCGGUGACAGCGCACCCCGCGUGGCCCCUGGGCGGGAGCGGGACGACGCGCCCCGACCCCCGGAGGACUCCCCCUCGCCGGACCCGCAGCUCGUUAGGCCUCCGCGAGCUAUGGAGGGGCUCGGACGGGAGCGGCCAGACGGACCCCCCCAGAUCCAGGAGAGAAGAACGGCUCUUUGCUGCCAG
rnacentral:lncRNA from 1 species